rfam:Haemonchus contortus, ISE/inbred ISE, WGS project CAVP01000000 data, contig: Hcontortus_23094
GGCACAAACUUGAAGUAGAAUAGUUGGGCAUGGUCAGCUGAUCCUACUAAUCUACUUUGCUUCAAGUUUGAGCUU